CCCUUAGAUGUUCUGGGCCGCACGCGUGCUACACUGAGUGGAUCAGCGGGUCAGGUUGCGCGAAAGUGUUUCCUAAUCUUUAAAUCCGCUCGUGAUGGGGAUUGACGGUUGCAAUUUUCCGUCAUGAACGAGGAAUACCUUGUAAGCGCGGGUCAUCAUCCCGCGCUGAAUACGUCCCUGCCCUUUGUACACACCGCCCGUCGCUCCUACCGAUUGAGUGGUCCGGUGAGGCUUUGGGAUCUGAGCGGAAAGAGCGUUUCGCUGUUUCUGCCCGGAAAACUCAGUCGAACCUUAUCAUUGAGAGGAAGGAGAAGGCGUAACA
rnacentral:rRNA from 1 species